rnacentral:rRNA from 1 species
UACGUAGGGGGCAAGCGUUGUCCGGAAUCAUUGGGCGUAAAGCGCGUGUAGGCGGCUCGAUAAGUCUGCUGUGAAAGUCCAGGGCUCAACCCUGGGAUGCCGGUGGAUACUGUCGAGCUCGAGUCCGGAAGAGGAGUGUGGAAUUCCUGGUGUAGCGGUGAAAUGCGCAGAUAUCGGGAGGAACACCAGUGGCGAAGGCGACUUCCUGGCCUGUUCUUGACGCUGAGGCGCGAAAGCUAGGGUAGCAAACGGG